CAGGUCUUCUAGGUCCUCUUCUGGCGAAUUUUUUUUUUGGGCCCCGUUGGGUGUGGCUUUAGCUGUUCCAGUAUGCACUUCCUUGCGGUUGCAGUGGUCUGGUAGUACGAGGCUCGGCAGUCAAUGGACAUCUUGCAACCGCGAUUUUGACAUAAACGAACUGCUGUCUUUUGUGCACCUUUCGAGCAGUAACCUGCACCGUUUAUUGAAAGGGGGCCUCAGUUUUGUCGUCUGCUGAACGUGGUUUUCUCGGCACAAAUCAACUUCAAUAAAUUAGGCGACAGGUGUAAACAUUGGAUAUGCAUUUUGGCAACUGGCAUUAUAUUUCAAACUAGGCAUUGGUUGAUAUAUGGUUGGUGACAUGAAUGACAGUAACUGAGGGGAGAAGUCUAACAGAAGGCCUAUCAGACAGGUGCCAACUGGUUCUUCUAAAGGCAGGAAAGUCUUAGAGACUUAGCCAAAGUCAGGGAUGCUGAUCUGCAUCCUGUGAGAAAAGAAAUAGCGACUGCUUCUGUUGCACAUACACAAUGGAAGUUGUCUAUUACAAGUCACAAAUUAUAGAUCUGACCACAAUGUUUGGACGUUAUUAUAAUUAUAGUUCUAACAAG